rnacentral:siRNA from 1 species
AAGCGGACUGCCACUAAUUUGCC